AAGUAUCUCCGAGUCUCGCCUGUGAUGGGGGAGAUAGGAGUAACGGCUGGUUGGCACAGCCAUCGGUGUACCUGUUCGAUUCAAAGAGCGGAUGCUUCACACCGCGAGAACAGGUCACAUCGUAAACCACAAUAUCCCAAAUGCGGUCGGGAAUCCUCGCCUUUCAGGGCGGGGA
rnacentral:ncRNA from 1 species